rnacentral:rRNA from 1 species
UCAGUAACACGUAGUCAACAUGCCCAAAGGACGUGGAUAACCUCGGGAAACUGAGGAUAAACCGCGAUAGGCCAAGGUUUCUGGAAUGAGCCAUGGCCGAAAUCUAUAUGGCCUUUGGAUUGGACUGCGGCCGAUCAGGCUGUUGGUGAGGUAAUGGCCCACCAAACCUGUAACCGGUACGGGCUUUGAGAGAAGGAGCCCGGAGAUGGGCACUGAGACAAGGGCCCAGGCCCUAUGGGGCGCAGCAGGCGCGAAACCUCUGCAAUAGGCGAAAGCCUGACAGGGUUACUCUGAGUGAUGCCCGCUAAGGGUAUCUCUUUGGCACCUCUAAAAACGGUGCCAGAAUAAGGGGUGG